rnacentral:rRNA from 1 species
UACAGAGGGUGCGAGCGUUAAUCGGAAUGACUGGGCGUAAAGCGCGCGUAGGCGGUUAUACAAGUUGGGUGUGAAAUCCCUGGGCUCAACCUAGGAAUUGCAUUCAAAACUAUAUGACUUGAGUGAAGUAGAGGUAAGUGGAAUUUCCGGAGUAGCGGUGAAAUGCGUAGAUACCGGAAGGAACACCAGUGGCGAAGGCGACUUACUGGGCUUUAACUGACGCUGAGGUGCGAAAGCAUGGGGAGCGAACAGG